GUGUUCUCGCAGACUUCACUCAGUAAAAAAAUGGUACACUGUUAACUUACGUUUCAAGUCUCGGUGGAUGUUUUAGGCACGCAGCAAGUAAAGCAGCAGAGAACACACAGGGUGCAGAUGUUGGUUUCGGUUGUUUGACAGGCUGCGUCAUGAAUAAGCCGGCGUUUGGCUCACCUGCUGCUGUGAUAACGGAUCGCAGGUGGAAACCUGAGCUGUGUGAGUGUGUCAGAGUGCGGGGAGGCAGGUGCAAAGAAAUGAGCUUUCUACUUCCUGCCUGUAACCCACAUCUUCUGCCCACGUACGGUUUCCGGCAAGGAAGGGUAGAGGAGGUCUGUGAUCAACACGGGAGGGAAGAUCCUGAAUAAACCCAUGAUGCACUGCAAACCCUGUUUCACAACAUGUGUCAUACAGGGAGGAAUCCCACCAGUCAUUUCUGCCAAAGUCAGGUUGUAGUGGAGAAGGAACAUCUGACCUCAGUCUGCUGACAGAUCUGCUCGUGGACUUCAGACACAUCAGAAUGCAAAUAGUGAGAUUGCAAAAGCUAACCUGAAGCCAAGGUGUUGGGGAGGACUACUGCUGUAUAAAACCUUUAGUGUCUCAGAAAGAGCUGCGCAAAACCUGACCAGCGUUGGCUGGGUACUACGAGAAGAAGAGAAGAAAAGAAUCUGUUGGUGUGGCGUCAGAAAGAGGCUUCUGAGUAAAUCAUCUGUCUCUGACACAACCGAGGUUCAGCCCGUUGAAGUCCCGCAGCGAGCUUACCUGACACAAUGAGAAACAGGGAGUGUAUCUGCAGCAGCCCGAGGUGAAACAUGCACAAAGAUGAAUGCAUCUUGUUCACUGUAUUAAGACCUGUGUUAAUAAACAUUUAAUUAGCAUCUUCUUUGCA